CACGUAGGGCGCAAGCGUUGUCCGGAAUUAUUGGGCGUAAAGAGCUCGUAGGCGGUCUGUUGCGUCCGCUGUGAAAACUCGGGGCUUAACCCCGAGCCUGCAGUGGAUACGGGCAGACUAGAGGUAGGUAGGGGAGAAUGGAAUUCCUGGUGUAGCGGUGAAAUGCGCAGAUAUCAGGAGGAACACCGGUGGCGAAGGCGGGACUCUGGGCCGAUACUGACGCUGAGGAGCGAAAGCGUGGGGAGCGAACAGG
rnacentral:rRNA from 1 species